GAUGAACGCUAGCUACAGGCUUAACACAUGCAAGUCGAGGGGUAACGAGAGGCAAGCUUGCUUUCCUUGUCGACGACCGGCGCACGGGUGAGUAACGCGUAUCCAACCUGCCCCCAACUAGGGAAUAACCUUGCGAAAGUAAGACUAAUACCCUAUAAUUUCCUCAGAUGUCAUCUGACGAGGAAUAAAGAUUUAUCGGUUGUGGAUGGGGAUGCGUCUGAUUAGCUUGUUGGCGGGGUAACGGCCCACCAAGGCAACGAUCAGUAGGGGUUUUGAGAGGAAGGUCCCCCACAUUGGAACUGAGACACCGUCCAAACUCCUACGGGAGGCAGCAGUGAGGAAUAUUGGUCAAUGGGCGGAAGCCUGAACCAGCCAAGUAGCGUGCAGGAUGACGGCCCUAUGGGUUGUAAACUGCUUUUAUACAGGAAUAAAGUUAGCCACGUGUGGUUAUUUGUAGGUACUGUAUGAAUAAGGACCGGCUAAUUCCGUGCCAGCCGCCGCCGUAA
rnacentral:rRNA from 1 species